GAAACAUAAAAAUCUCCCGUGUGCAUUUAUCAACUAAUGAGACAAUAUUUUUCAGCUAAUUCUUUCUGCAGUGCUGGAAUGGAGAGGUGGGGUCGUGUGGCCUUUCUCACUAUGCUGGGUACAGGGCCUGUGAGUACCACAGUUAUGAUUAUUUCUCCUUAUUAUUAAUAGAAGUGCUUGAAAUCAACUCCUUCCAGUGGAAAAUUUAAUUGUCUGAAUCAAGGCCAUCCUCUACAGGCCAUCUGUCUUCAUGGCUGUGAUUAAACUCUGACAAAAAGUGAUGCCUUGGGCUUCUUGCUUCAGAAAGUAACUUGAGUGAAAUUGACCCCUGAACUCCAACUUCAUUAAAAUAAGGAAAAAUACUGUGAGUCCAUCAGAUAAAAAGACAUGGACUUCCCUGGUGGUCCAGUGGUUAAGAAUCCACCUGCCAAUGCAGG
rnacentral:lncRNA from 1 species